rnacentral:rRNA from 1 species
CCUACGGGUGGCAGCAGUCGAGAAUCAUUCACAAUGGGGGAAACCCUGAUGGUGCGACGCCGCGUGGGGGAAUGAAGGUCUUCGGAUUGUAAACCCCUGUCAUGUGGGAGCAAAUUAAAAAGAUAGUACCACAAGAGGAAGAGACGGCUAACUCUGUGCCAGCAGCCGCGGUAAUACAGAGGUCUCAAGCGUUGUUCGGAAUCACUGGGCGUAAAGCGUGCGUAGGCUGUUUCGUAAGUCGUGUGUGAAAGGCGCGGGCUCAACCCGCGGACGGCACAUGAUACUGCGAGACUAGAGUAAGGGAGGGGGAACCGGAAUUCUCGGUGUAGCAGUGAAAUGCGUAGAUAUCGAGAGGUACACUCGUGGCGAAGGCGGGUUCCUGGACAUUAACUGACGCUGAGGCACGAAGGCCAGGGGAGCGAAAGGGAUUAGAUACCCGGGUAGUC